rnacentral:rRNA from 1 species
CCUACGGGAGGCUGCAGUGGGGAAUAUUGGACAAUGGGGGCAACCCUGAUCCAGCCAUGCCGCGUGUGUGAAGAAGGCCCUCGGGUUGUAAAGCACUUUCAGUGAGGAAGAACGCCUGGUGGUUAAUACCCAUCAGGAAAGACAUCACUCACAGAAGAAGCACCGGCUAACUCCGUGCCAGCAGCCGCGGUAAUACGGAGGGUGCGAGCGUUAAUCGGAAUUACUGGGCGUAAAGCGCGCGUAGGUGGCUUGAUAAGCCGGUUGUGAAAGCCCCGGGCUCAACCUGGGAACGGCAUCCGGAACUGUCAAGCUAGAGUGCAGGAGAGGAAGGUAGAAUUCCCGGUGUAGCGGUGAAAUGCGUAGAGAUCGGGAGGAAUACCAGUGGCGAAGGUGGCCUUCUGGACUGACACUGACACUGAGGUGCGAAAGCGUGGGUAGCAAACAGGAUUAGAUACCCCAGUAGUC